rnacentral:rRNA from 1 species
AGCGAACGCUGGCGGCAGGCUUAACACAUGCAAGUCGAGCGGGCGUAGCAAUACGUCAGCGGCAGACGGGUGAGUAACGCGUGGGAACGUACCUUUUGGUUCGGAACAACACAGGGAAACUUGUGCUAAUACCGGAUAAGCCCUUACGGGGAAAGAUUUAUCGCCGAAAGAUCGGCCCGCGUCUGAUUAGCUAGUUGGUGAGGUAACGGCUCACCAAGGCGACGAUCAGUAGCUGGUCUGAGAGGAUGAUCAGCCACAUUGGGACUGAGACACGGCCCAAACUCCGACGGGAGGCAGCAGUGGGGAAUAUUGGACAAUGGGGGCAACCCUGAUCCAGCCAUGCGGCGUGAGUGAUGAAGGCCCUAGGGUUGUAAAGCUCCUUUGUGCGGGAAGAUAAUGACGGUACCGCAAGAAUAAGCCCCGGCUAACUUCGUG